CUGUGUUGACAAAUGUGACUUUUAUGCCAUUAUUUGCUAAGCAUUGGGCAAGCUCCAUCAAGGGAAUCACAUGGCCUUGCGCUGGAUAUGUUGGCAUGGAUGAAGAAAAUAAGGAGAACUAACAUCAAGCCCUUGUCAGUUUCUCAAGGCUCACGUAGAUUGCCGAAGCUGCUAAAUCAAAAUCCACAGAAACGAUCCGUACACUUUUAUCA